GAUGAACGCUGGCGGCGUGCCUAAUACAUGCAAGUCGAGCGAACAGAUGAGGAGCUUGCUCCUCUGACGUUAGCGGCGGACGGGUGAGUAACACGUGGAUAACCUACCUAUAAGACUGGGAUAACUUCGGGAAACCGGAGCUAAUACCGGAUAAUAUAUUGAACCGCAUGGUUCAAUAGUGAAAGACGGUUUUGCUGUCACUUAUAGAAGGAUCCGCGCCGCAUUAGCUAGUUGGUAAGGUAACGGCUUACCAAGGCAACAAUGCGUAGCCGACCUGAGAGGGUGAUCGGCCACACUGGAACUGAGACACGGUCCAGACUCCUACGGGAGGCAGCAGUAGGGAAUCUUCCGCAAUGGGCGAAAGCCUGACGGAGCAACGCCGCGUGAGUGAUGAAGGUCUUCGGAUCGUAAAACUCUGUUAUUAGGGGAGAACAAAUGUGUAAGUAACUAUGCACGUCUUGACGGUACCUAAUCAGAAAGCCACGGCUAACUACGUG
rnacentral:rRNA from 1 species